UAGACUAUUAUUUACAUUGAAUGUGUGGC
rnacentral:sRNA from 1 species